CGCCUCUGGAAACAUGGCUGUCUCUGAUGGUGUCAUCAAAGUGUUCAAUGACAUGAAAGUUCAAAAGUCUUCAACACCAGAAGAAGUGAAGAAACACAAGAAGACACACUGCUCCUUUGCCGGGGCGAGGAUAAGAACAUCUUCCUGGAGAAGGGGAAGGAGAUUCUGGAAGGAAAUGUGGGACAGACUGUGGAUGAUCCCAGCACCACUUUUGUCUAGAUGUUACCAGACAAAGACUGCCGCUAUGUGCUCUAUGAUGCAACCUAUGAGACCAAGGAAGCAAGAAGGAGGACUUGCUGUUCAUCUUCUGGGCCCCUUAAGAGCAAAAUGAUCAAUGCCAGCUCCAAGGAUGCCAUCAAGAAGAAGCUGACAGGAAUCAAGCAUGAAUUACAAGCUAACUGCUACUAGGAGUUCAAGGACCCCUGCACCCUGGCAGAGAAGUUGGUGGCAGCACAGUCAUUUCCCUGAAGGACAAGCC
rnacentral:lncRNA from 1 species